CUCAGGGUGGCACAGGGGUACGACAUCGCCCUACCGCGGCGGCAGUGAUCACGACCGGGGUUUGGUUCCCCACCGUGAGA
rnacentral:tRNA from 1 species